rnacentral:ncRNA from 1 species
AUAAAGUUUUAUUUUAGUUAAAAAAUUUAUUUUAUUUUAAUUUUAUAUGUAAAUUUAUGUAUGAAAUUAUAAUUAUCUUAAAGAUAAUUAUAAAGUUUUAUUCGCAGUAUUUUGUUUUAAAUAUUAAAGAAAUUUAGAUUUAGUUAUAAAAAUUAGUAUGGGUUAAUUUUGUGCCAGCAUCCGCGGUUAUACAAAAUAUACAAAUAAAUUUUAUUAUUUGUAGUUAAAUUAAUUUUUUUAAAGUAAAAAUAUAUAAAUAAGGUGAAAUUUAUUAUAUUAUUUAAUUUAUUAAUUAAUUGAUUGAAGCUAGUAAAUUUUUAUAUUAAACUAGGAUUAGAUACCCUAUUAUUAAAAAUGUAAAUAAAAGUAAAUUAGGUAGUAAGAGAUAUAGUCUUGAAACUUAAAAAAUUUGGCGGUAUUUUAAUCUAUUUAGAGGAACCUGUUCCAUAAUCGAUAGUCCACGAUAAAUUUUACAUAAUUUUAUUUAGUUUAUAUAUCGUCGUUAUAAGAAGAUUUUAUAAGAAAAAUAAUUUUCUAAUAUUUUUAUUUGAAUAUAUUUCAGAUCAAGGUGUAGCUUAUAAUUAUGAGGAAAUGGGUUACAAUAAUUUUAAUUAUAAUGGAGUAUAAAAUGAAUAUUUUAUAUAAAGGUGGAUUUAAUAGUAAAAUAAUUUAUAUAUUUUAUUUGAUUUUAGUUCUAAAAUAUGCACAUAUCGCCCGUCACUCUCUUUAUUUAAAAAGAGAUAAGUCGUAACAAAGUAGGUGUACUGGAAAGUGUACCUAGAAUGAACAA